rnacentral:rRNA from 1 species
GACAGAGGGUGCAAACGUUGUUCGGAAUUACUGGGCGUAAAGCGCGUGUAGGCGGCCCUGCAAGUCGGAUGUGAAAUCCCACGGCUCAACCGUGGAAGUGCAUUCGAAACUGCAGGGCUAGAGUCCUGGAGAGGAAGGUGGAAUGCUUGGUGUAGAGGUGAAAUUCGUAGAUAUCAAGCGGAACACCGGUGGCGAAGGCGGCCUUCUGGACAGUGACUGACGCUGAGGAGCGAAAAGCGUGGGGGAGCAAACAGG